UAUUAAAGGUAUAUUUAGAAACAAUUUUAUUAGGAAACUAAAUCGUUAAGGUAUUUAUGAACUGCUUAUAGUAAGUCUUUAACGUAUAUUUACUACAAAUGUAAGAUUUGUAAAUUUAGAACAAUUUCAAUUGUAUAUAACCCAUAUCCAUCUCCAAGAUGCAAGCGACCUCUGUACCUUUCAUAAAAUCAGUUAAACAGACGAGCCAUGAAAAGGUAACUUUUUUUGUAUUUAUAAUAAUGGGCAUUGAAUUUGGAUAUAGUAGCUAGGUGCGUCGGUCUAGACGCGUGGACGGGCGGGAAAUCACAUUGGGUAUCUGUCUAGUCUAUAUACCGCAUGUCUAACUUAACUACAUAUAUAAGCAUUGUUUCACACAAGGGACUUUACAAUGUGACAAUGUGCGGUGUCUUCUUUGAUAAUAAUUUAAACAGCAAACCAAGUGGUACGCGCACGAAAAGCAAGGAUUAGUUCGCUCUGCGACCCGUCAAGCAUUCCCAAUGUUAUGUUUACUCGAGAUCUACUGUAUCCAUCCCGUGUUUCGAUCUACCGUAAGACAUUCUUCCGAUUCUUAUAUUUUCAUUAAAGUUCCCACGGCGUCGUAAAUACUCAUCAUCCAAUAUAAAUGCAAAAGUAACUCUAUAAUAUGUUCGACGGCCUGUUUGUGGCGGCCCUUUCACAGCUCAAAAGCUCGCAUCCUGGCUAUGAACAUAAGGUCAUUUUUUAUCUCAUAAAAUAAAAGAUUCCCAAGAGACCCUAAUGCACGCGGACGUCAGCAAGUAGAUAAUAGUUAUAAUAUUAACAAGCUUGCUUAACUCGAUUGCGGCUCACGCGAUCAAGUAAGUACAUAACUACUUCUGACACAUUUGAGUGAGGGAAUCAUGGAUAACAAUCUAACAAUCAGCAAGUAGUAGUUUUAUAGCUAUCCAUGAAACCGGAUUCCUUUUACAGAAAGAAGUUACUAUAGUUUUCUUACAUACAAUCCCAUUUAUGAAUGAUACAGGUGUAAUUCUGUAAAAUAUAAUAUAAAUGAAGAUCUUAGUUGAUUAGAUCUAGCAUAGGAAUGUAUACCAAUAGCAUUAUACAAAUUUUACUUUAUAUUCUUAAACCUAAUAAUUAUUCUUGGUUUAAUUGCUGUAAACUAAGUAACAAAUCCCCUAAACCAUAUUAUUAUGAAAAAUCUCACCAUUAACUCAGAGAAUACUUAUAAUAAUAGAAAAUACACAUAUUUAUAUACUACUGCGUCCGCCCUAAGUGCUUGGCGGUGCGUAUUAUUGAUAUCAUUGUAAAUAUAUCCCGGAACUGACAACGGGGAUAAGGGUGGUCGCACAAAGAAGCAGGUUUCCAGUAGCAACAGCUCGGUGCGGGUAAUAUAGCCUCAUAUCAUACGUGUCUCUACGUAAGUGGGUAAUAAAUAUACGAUAACAUAAGGCUAUUAUACCGGCACCGACCUGUCGGUACCGAAAACCUGCUUUUUUAAGCAGCACCUUAACACAGUAUUCAAUGAAUUCAAUGUUUUCAAAUGCGCACCUAACCAAUAACUUAGUUAACACAAUUAACCAAUGUUGUUAGCAUGUUUUUUAAUCUUUUUAAUCCUCGACUUUGUAUAUGUUAAAAAAUUGAACGUAAUCCUAAAUUACCGUAGAGUCUCCUAACUUCAACUUAUAUGCCUAACAUCGGCUAAAAUUUAAAAAGUUCAAUAUUUUUUUUUCCUUUUAUGGAAACACUAAUUGUAGUGAUUUGGGAAGUAUACAUAUUUAAUCAUGGCAACUUUGCAAUGUCAUUUGUCAAAAUAUUGGUGGCCAUUUUGUCACAAUCGUGAGUAACUUCGGUUCACGCACACGCUUCUUUUUUACCGACCCCGAAAAUUUGUGUCAUUACUCAAUACUGCUUGGAGGUAAUCCAAAAACUCUAGACAUGAAUCGAGAAUUCGUAAAAAAAGAAAAAACGAUCAUAUACAGUUGCUCACAGCCAAGACAUGUUGGAUUUAGCAUUAGAAUGCCUAAGAAAAAGACAGUUUUACGAUUACUACGAUUAAAGUGUUUAAUUCAUUCAU